UACGAGUGCCUCGAGCGUUAUCCGGAAUCAUUGGGUUUAAAGGGUGCGUAGGCGGCUCAUUAAGUCAGGGGUGAAAGACGGUAGCUUAACUAUCGCAGUGCCUUUGAUACUGAUGAGCUUGAAUGUAGUUGAGGUAGGCGGAAUGUGACAAGUAGCGGUGAAAUGCAUAGAUAUGUCACAGAACACCAAUUGCGAAGGCAGCUUACUAAAGUAUGAUUGACGCUGAGGCACGAAAGCGUGGGGAUCAAACAGG
rnacentral:rRNA from 1 species